rnacentral:lncRNA from 1 species
GCGAGCUGUGGCCAGUGGCGUGCCGCCUUCCGCUAGGACUAGCAGCAGGGCGCCCGCGAGUGCAGCUUCGGGCCCCUGGGGCGGGUAGGAACGAGAUGGGAACGUUCUCCAGCGGGAGGAAAGGCGGCCGCACCGCCGGGACUGAAAGGAAGGGAGAACUCGGCUUACUCCGUCUUUAUGCCCCGCGCUUGGUCUCGGGAUGGGAAGCCGCUUUGUUAGGCCGUCGGGCUAUUUUGUUUUCCAGGCAGAUUUUGGAAAAGCGUAUUGAAACUUGGAUCUGUGAGCAAAAGAAUGGGUGCAUUUUAAUGUUUUUCAGUGAAGUCACUAAAUAAAACGUGCUCAAAAACCCUACUUUAAAAACUUGUUCUGAACCUGUACGUUAAGACUCGCGGAGGUGGUGGUCGUGGACCCGGGGCGGUUCCCUCAGCAGUUCAUUUUGCCCACCCUCUAGAGAGUGCAGGGAGAGUUGGUUAAACCAUUAAACUUCCCCUAUGUCACUUCCUGAACCUUUCUGACUUACACACAGUCAGGGAAGUUUGGUGUGGCUGUGAUACUGGGGAUUGAACCCAAAGGCGCUCUACCGCUGAGCUGUAUAUAUCCCCAGCCCUUUUAAAUGAUAAGACAGGGUCUCAGUUGCCUCCUGAGUUGCUAGGAUUACAGGUGUACACCACCAUAUCUGGCUGCAUAUUCUUUUACAACAGAGGCCCUUUGAUAGACCUGUAUUCAUCCAUGUCUAAAAAAAUCUAAUGAUGUUAUAUUUUUACUGUUUUAAGAUAGGUAAGCUAAAGACACAAAUAGAAUUAUUAUCAGUGACUUCCUUUGGGUGCUAAAAUAUAUUCCUGAUGCUUAAAUUGUUCUCAUUCUGUUAGACCCUGCAGCCUCCCUUGGGAAUUUGCUUUUCAUUAUUUAAACUUCAGAUUAUUAAAUCCUAAACUCAAUGUUGGCAUAAUUCCUUCAGUUUCAUUAGCAAUCAGUUAUUCGCCAAUUGACCACAGGAAUUUAAUAACACAGUAUGAAAAUUUAGCUUAAGAGCAAGUAAAAACUGUGCAGGUGGCACAUGCCUGUAAUCCCAGCCGCUUGGGAGGUUGAGGCAGACGAAUGGUGAGUUCAAAGCCAGCCUCAGCAACUUAGUGAGGCCCUAAGCAACUCAGCAAGAUCUUGUCGCUAAAUAAAACACACACACACACACACACACACAUAUAUUUUUAAAGAGCAAAUGAAGUAAAAGUCCCCAAAUAGAA